CGGAGACAACAGGGAUGCCCUAGUAACGGCGAGUGAAGCGGCAACAGCUCAAAUUUGAAAUCUGGCGCAAGCCCGAGUUGUAAUUUGUAGAGGAUGCUUCUGGGCAGCGGCCGGUCUAAGUUCCUUGGAACAGGACGUCACAGAGGGUGAGAAUCCCGUAUGUGAUCGGUUGGCACCCGCUACGUAGCUCCUUCGACGAGUCGAGUUGUUUGGGAAUGCAGCUCUAAAUGGGAGGUAAAUGCCUUCUAAAGCUAAAUACCGGCCAGAGACCGAUAGCGCACAAGUAGAGUGAUCGAAAGAUGAAAAGCACUUUGGAAAGAGAGUUAAAAAGCACGUGAAAUUGUUGAAAGGGAAGCGCAUGCAACCAGACUUGUCCGCGGUGUUCCGCCGGUCUUCUGACCGGUCUACUCGCCGCGGGCAGGCCAGCAUCAUCUGGGAGCGCCGGAUAAAGGUAGCGGGAAUGUGGCCCCUCGGGGUGUUAUAGCUCGCUACACAAUACGGCGCCUCCCGGGUGAGGUCCGCGCUUCGGCUAGGAUGCUGGCGUAAUGGUUGUAUGCGGCCCGUCUUGAAACACGGACCAAGGAGUCUACCAUCUAUGCGAGUGUUCGGGUGUCAAACCCCUACGCGCAAUGAAAGUGAACGGAGGUGGGAACCGCAAGGUGCACCAUCGACCGAUCCUGAUGUCUUCGGAUGGAUUUGAGUAAGAGCAUAGCUGGUGGGACCCGAAAGAUGGUGAACUAUGCCUGAAUAGGGUGAAGCCAGAGGAAACUCUGGUGGAGGCUCGCAGCGGUUCUGACGUGCAAAUCGAUCGUCAAAUUUGGGUAUAGGGGCGAAAGACUAAUCGA
rnacentral:rRNA from 1 species